GCUCCAGUGGCGCAAUCGGUUAGCGCGCGGUACUUAUAUGUCAGUGCUAGGCGAAGCGAUGCCGAGGUUGUGAGUUCGAUCCUCACCUGGAGCA
rnacentral:tRNA from 1 species